rnacentral:tRNA from 1 species
AUGAGCGGGAAACGGGACUCGAACCCGCGACAGUCUGCAUGGCAAGCAGAAACUCUACCAACUGAGUUAUUCCCGC